GGGGAGCCCUAGCACAGGUGCUGCAUGGCCGUCGUCAGCUCGUGCCGUGAGGUGUUGAGUUAAGUCCCGCAACGAGCGCAACCCCCGCCGUUAGUUGCCAGCGGUUCGGCCGGGCACUCUAACGGGACUGCCCGCGAAAGCGGGAGGAAGGAGGGGACGACGUCUGGUCAGCAUGGCCCUUACGGCCUGGGCGACACACGUGCUACAAUGCCCACUACAAAGCGAGGCCACCCGGCAACGGGGAGCUAAUCGCAAAAAGGUGGGCCCAGUUCGGAUUGGGGUCUGCAACCCGACCCCAUGAAGCCGGAAUCGCUAGUAAUCGCGGAUCAGCCAUGCCGCGGUGAAUACGUUCCCGGGCCUU
rnacentral:rRNA from 1 species